GACGUAGGGCGCGAGCGUUGUCCGGAUUUAUUGGGCGUAAAGAGCGUGUAGGCGGCUAGACAGGUCCGCUGUGAAAACUCGAGGCUCAACCUCGAGACGUCGGUGGAAACCGUUUGGCUAGAGUCCGGAAGAGGAGAGUGGAAUUCCCGGUGUAGCGGUGAAAUGCGCAGAUAUCGGGAAGAACACCCGUGGCGAAGGCGGCUCUCUGGGACGGUACUGACGCUGAGACGCGAAAAGCGUGGGGGAGCGAACAGG
rnacentral:rRNA from 1 species